rnacentral:sRNA from 1 species
AUUUAAACCGGAUUGCAGAGGAGAUACUUUUUUGGUGUGCGGAAAGUGGCUGUAGGGGUCAGAAAAGAUCGUAUCGGAAAGCCGGAGGAAAC